rnacentral:sRNA from 1 species
UAGUGACCUAAUACGGUAUAUAUGGGGUCAGUAAAUUCAUAUGGAAUUUAGAAUUUACUGACCCCAUAUAUACCGUAUUAAGUCACUAGUGC